GGCCAAAUGAAAGAAUAUCAAAGGUGAUCAGCUUGCCAAAAGGUUUCGAUUUUAAACAUAUGUCUGUAGAGUGGUGCGGACUUUAUGGGGAGCUUUGUACAGAUGAGAGAUCAGCGCCAGGUCACUCUUUCUGCAACUUUCAUUUGCUCUGCUUUCUUCUUGCCGUCAUUUCCUUGGCCCCAGGAAAGACUGCCUGACUUGUUUGUGUAAACCUGAUGACAGAACUUGGACAAACAGGAAGAAUGCCUAGGCAUAGAGGAAGAGGCUCAUCCACACAAGACUCACUGACUUAAAGAGGAGCCAAAAACCCUCAUCAGAAGAGUUAGUUCCCUCUAGCCAUGUUUGCAGUGGUGGGACUCCAGCUCAGAGAGGAUUGUACUGCCUAGCUGCUCCUGGAGGUCUGUGGAAAAGGAACAUGGCCACCACUUCCCAGGAGCUUGGCUGAGGCUGCCACCAUACUCAGAUUAAGCCUUCCAAGGCCUUUGGUCAAGCAAUGGGAGUCUCAGAAGGCAUGAAAAGUAUUGACCAGUUUUCUAACCUAACAACUUCUCCAGUCCUAGAAGAAAAUGCUCCAGUCCUAGUUCUGGACUCCAGGGAAACUAGGAAAUGAAGUUGUGGCUUGGAGUCAGUCAUUAUUUAUGGCAUUUGGCACAUAAAACCCUGAUGAACCAGAAACAAAAUGAAAGAAAGGAGAACUGUAAACAAGGUCUUUCAGUGCUAAUUUUAACUCCAGGAUGACAAAUAGAGGUAUAGCAAUACAACAACUACAGCAACUUCAAUCAUUUUCCUAUAUUUAGUACCUCAAAAUUCAAGUUGACAGGUAUGCCUCACCUAAAUUCUGAUGCGUGUCAUCUCCUGAUUUAUGAGUGCUUGGUUUUGCAGAACAAAUAAAAUUCUCCCCGUUACUUAAUGGUGCUGAAGAUAUUUCUUCUCUUACCUUUCGUUAUCUUCUUUUUCUGUUGCUACUCAUAUCUGUCACCAGUCAUGUCUUUAAAUCCUUCCAUAGAUAACCUGUUCUAUGACUUUCUGAAGCUUCUAUUUUAUGUCACAGUGUUUUUUCCCUUUGCUUUCUAUAUCAUUGGUGUACAAUCUCCAGAGUAUCAAGCAACUUACAGAGUGGCUUGAAAAGCUGAAUCACAUUGAACUCAAUGUCUGAGAGUCAGUAUUCUUUGCAACUGCUAAUAGCUUUGAGCAAGCCAGUUUAUUUUUCAGUGUUUCACUUUCUUCCCCUGAUUUCUAGUAAUGCAGAUAGAGUUCUCUUUUCUGAGCAAAAUGUAAUCUGGUAGAUAGCAAAUUGGGUUGGUAGCAGGAAAAGGGGAGAGCUUUCAUCAUAAGAAUAAAAUGGACCUAAAGGUUUUAUAAAUUAAAGGCCAAUUAUUCCCAGGAGUGCAUGGGGAGCCUUCCACAGCAAUCACUCUUGAGAAUCUGAAGGCAGAACAGGGCCUCGACCAUCUGUAUUUGGACUUUGUCAGGCCAUUUGUUUGUAACCGGAAUUGUAUUGUUGCUCUGGUUUUCAGUAAAGGGAUGUUCACUGAGGCAUCACAUUGAUAUUUUUGAAGUACGUUCCAUGUUUUCAAAGAAACAAAUUUAUCAGCAAUGAAUUGAAAUGUCUAGCUGUUUCCGUAUGCUGUAGAGAUUUCACAUCAUGCUGCUGUGCAUGUGCAUUCAUUUUUCACCUGCUGGAUGUAAUGGGAACAAGUUCAAUACAUGAAUGAAAGCAUGUUAACAAGGAAGUGAUUUGGCCAAACCAUGCUUCUUCCUCCUAACAGAUAAAAAAAGCCCUGAAAAAACAAAGGCUGAAGGCACAAGCUUGUUUUCAUUAAUCAUAAAUCAGAGACGAUCCCCAAAUAGUAUAGUAGGAGGCAAUGUUGACAGUAGACCUGUGGGAUUUUAACAAACUCGGCUCCUGUUCUUUGUUUUACCUAUAUCUAGGUUAACUACUGUCUGAAAGAGCUUUGUGGGAAAAUCUCAUCUUAUUAUCUUAAAUAAAAAGAGCUGACUAUUUGUGGAAAAACUCAUCAGGCUUUCAUUUUCAAGUUCUGUACAAGGCUGACCCUUUGUCUGAAGUAUUAAAAAUCCCACAGUGGAUGUAUAAAUUAUGGCCUAUAGUAAGGACUUUGGGACAUUCCACUGAGUAUGUUCACAAAAUUUGAGUAAGGCUGUUGUUCCAGAUGAUGCAUGUGGCUCACAAUCCUGAGAGCUGAAAAGCUCCCUGCAAGACCAAGAGGCCAACCAGACUGAUUCUUUGGACUUUGAACCUCCAAUGUUACCUGCUAAUAUGGCACAUAGAGCCAUGAUUGAAAGUGUCUGGGUACUAUGAGCAACACCUAUACUUCUGGGACCAACAGACCUCAGUCUGCAUCAUGGUUGACAGGAUUGCAAUAUCUGGUAUAUUUUCUGCAGUAUUUCUCAGCAAAAAGAGCAAGGCUAGAGAUGAAAAUUCGAAAAACCUCUUAAUGGAGUAUUUUAAAGUCUAGGAUCACAGCUUUUGAGGUCCCUAGUACCAAUGAAACAACCAACUAGUUACUGGGGGUCAGAAGGAGAAAAGAGGAAGAGAGGGAAAGGAAACUACAUUGAAGGAAGGUGAUUCUGUUUGGAAAAAAUGUCUCAUACAGUUUGGCAACUCUUACCAUGCUGUUGCCAACUUGCAAGUUCAUAUGAGGUUUACAGCAAGUUACAGGAAGAAUAAAAUGUUAAUCAUGUGCAGAACCUUAGUUGUAUUCUCGCCAUCUAUUUCAACAACAGUAAUAACAUACAGACUAAGAAGUGAUUACAGAAUGACAUAAGCUUCUUUUCCAUUUGAAUUUGAAAAUGUAUUUCCAUUUAAAGCUUAAUUUUUAUGUGCUUCAUCCAAAAUUAAGAAAACAAGAGGAUGUGAUUUCCAAGCACUAUAUAUAGGCUGGAUCUGGUGUCAAGUUUUUCUAACAGUUAUUAGCUGUGUUAAAAGCAGUGACUUUUAACACAGUAUCUAAAAAAAAAACUUACCAGCAUUUUAUGGUGGCUUAAAAAAAAUACAAAGGACAACAAGUUGAAACAUGGGGAAGAUCAGUGACAAAGGUACUUAGUCAACAAAAGACUUAACUGCAUGUUGCAGAUUGUAUCUUCUUACAAAAGCCUUUCAUUAAUGAACUAUGUGUUAGAAAGUCUGUUCAGCUGAUUAAACUUUUCUAUAUCUGAAA